CAGCAGCCGCGGGAAUACAGAGGGUGCAAGCGUUAAUCGGAAUUACUGGGCGUAAAGCGGGCGUAGGUGGUUUGUUAAGUUGGAUGUGAAAUCCCCGGGCUCAACCUGGGAACUGCAUCCAAAACUGGCAGGCUAGAGUAGGGCAGAGGGUGGUGGAAUUUCCUGUGUAGCGGUGAAAUGCGUAGAUAUAGGAAGGAACACCAGUGGCGAAGGCGACCACCUGGGCUCAUACUGACACUGAGGUGCGAAAGCGUGGGGAGCAAACAGGAUUAGAUACCCCCGUAGUCCCUGUCUCUUAUAA
rnacentral:rRNA from 1 species